GAUUCAGACACCUCUUCAAAUGAGAAGAGAGGUACAAAGAAGCGUGGUAAAAAGUAUACAAGCAGCAGUGAUGAAUCUGAUUCUGAUAGUGAUUCUAAGAGGAAGGUUAAGGCCAAAAAGAUGAAGAUUCCUAAGCACCGCAAGAAAGGUAGGGUGGAGGGUAGUGACUCUUCUUAUGACUCUGAUGACAACAAUAUUGCAAGAAAAAGUUACAAGAAAAGACAAGAGUCUCAUAAUAGGCACACUUCAAAGGAUGAUUCUGAUGAUCAUGAUGACAUCCGCAAGAAUAAGAUCAAGGAAGGGAUGAAACAUUAAAAAAUGAGCAAACGUCAUGAUUCUGAGGUGGAAUCUGAUGUUGACAGUAAGGAAAAUAAAUAUGGUACAGUUGG
rnacentral:lncRNA from 1 species